rnacentral:lncRNA from 1 species
UCCUAUGUGAGUUGAAGUGAAAUUCUAGGUUUUUCUCAGUUUAAAAGAUAUUUUUAGACCUUCUUUGAUCUUUUUGAGCUUUGUUGCUUAUCACAAAUAAAUCAGGCAUAGUUAGCCCUUUUGAGCUUAUAAGCAUUUUGUUUGGCAACUGAUUAUAAGCAUACACCCAUUUUUUUCAUAAUUGAUUUAUUUGGAUCUUUGUACCUCUUAAAGCUGACUUUAGCCGUUUAUGUUCUCCCGAUAUGGAAACAAAUCAAUCAAAGGUUUCGAACCUUCUCUUACAACUCGAAGCUCAACGUUUCUAGUCGCGGGAAUUUGAGGUUUCACUCUGUCUACCGUCUCUCUGUCUAACAUCUCUCUGUUCCAACCCCCCCCCCCCCCCCCCCCGCAUACACCCAUUUUUUUCAUAAUUGAUUUAUUUGGAUCUUUGUACCUCUUAAAGCUGACUUUAGCCGUUUAUGUUCUCCCGAUAUGGAAACAAAUCAAUCAAAGGUUUCGAACCUUCUCUUACAACUCGAAGCUCAACGUUUCUAGUCGCGGGAAUUUGAGGUUUCACUCUGUCUACCGUCUCUCUGUCUAACAUCUCUCUGUUCCAACCCCCCCCCCCUCCCAACCCCCCUACCACUGCCAGUGCCGGCGUACAACCGGUAACCACCGGACCCCAGUAAGCAUUCUACCCCUGAUCCGAGUCAACUCAGUCGUAACUCGUCGGUGACUCAACGUACAUCUACUUCUGAACUAUUUAAUUCCAUCUCCUAAACUAUUUAAUUCCAUCUCCUAAGCUAUUUAAACUUUUAAAAUUUCUUUGUUAAUUUCCGAUUUUGCUUCUGUUUAAUUAUACAUCUUACAUAUUUAAGUUUUGGUCAAGCCAAAAGUCAAAUCUUUUUGGCUAUAUCAAUAUUUAUCUCUUUGUAUCUUUGGAUUUUUUGGAGACUGGUAGAUCGGUAAGUUGAGAAUUUUUUGUAAUACCCAAAUCUUGAUUUUUGAAAAUUUUGAUCACUGCUAAAAUAUACAGAGAAAAUUUUGUUCCAUAACACGCCACAUAAGCUGCCAUAUUUUACAGAUACUCUUUCCCAAAGUUCAAAGAAAGUCUUGAAAUUUGCUAAAGUUUUGAUUUUGUCUGCUUCUUUGUAAUUAAACCUCGAUUUGAUCAGACCCCAAAUCGUCUAUUACCUAACUUAGAAAAUAUUUAUACUUAUUUUUCUUUCUGAUUUAUACUGAUUUUUCUUUCUGAAAAAGAGUAUCUGAAACCCUCAACCGACAUCUUGCGCCGCCGCAAACAACUUGUAUUUUACCUAAUUUAUCAGAGUUUAGACCUAAUUGGCGGAUUCUUGGAUCAAAAGUUUGCGACGCCGACUUAUAUUUCUUCGAAAACUCUCCGACCUGCUUCAUCCAAGCUCAGAUCUAUUUCUCAUAUUGAUUCUUUUUAGGUUUCUCAAUUUUUUUACCCUCCUUUUUGGAAUUUUCUAGUUCUUAUUCUCCACCGAAAAUCUAUUGCAAGAAUUCUUCUACUAUUUUAGUUUAGCUCGCUAUUUUUUUCUUUUUUCUUCCUAUUCUCUCUUCUGCUUUUUGUGGGUGGGUGUGGGUGUGUUUUGUUUUCUUGGACAGGUGCCUUAUUUUUUCGGAGAGGAUUUUCGGCAAUACAGUACUUCUGACGACUCCCGUUCAGAUUUUCGGCAGGACGCAACAGAACUCCCCGUUCCAAUAAGCUUCAAGAAAACUUGCCCUACGUACUAGUCGCGGCGGCGAGGCCAUUUUGCGGCGUCUGGGAGUGAGGAGCAAAGAAACACCGGCCGGGACGUGCAAGAGUUGGUAGCAAUUGACCUCGGGCGCAUCAAAGCCUACUUUCAGGUUUUUCCACCGGGAGUUGGUACCUCCCGCUAUCUGGUUUGCAUCUUUUUGCGUAUUCCGCUAUUAGUGCGUGUGUGCGUCACUAUUCACCAUAGUAGGUUGGAGAGAUAGUGGCCGCGGCGGGGUAUGAUAAUGUAAGGUCAUGUCCUCGGGG